UAGGUUCAACGUAAGUUAUGAAUGUCCCAAACCCCGUGGUGAAAACUAAAAAUGACAUGGUUACCAUGACUGAACAUUCCAAGUGGUGAAAUUGAGCUACUGCCCACUGAGAAAUUUAACAACCCGAUCGGCCUUACAUCAGCCCUAUUUUGUUCAACCAUCAGAAUGAUCGGGGCGUUACAUUUCUCAGAGGUUGUGGCCCUGACCUGUCAAAGGCCUUGACUUGGCAGCUGUCAACGAGAAAAAGUGUUGACUGUUUUUAUAAAAAGUUAGGACUGUCCCGAAAAGUGUGAUGAUUCUUGCAAUCAAAUAUUCUGGCCAAGAAACAAAAACCACCCAAACCGAAUGCCCAUGUGAAGUUUUCCUCAAAACAAAAUAGCUAUCGUGAUCGGGAAAGUUGGGCCCGGAAUGUAUAUGCGAGAGCACUUUGACAUGCCGCUCUUGAACCGGAAGCACCCUUCCGGAAGAUCUUGCUCCAAUUCCGGCGGAAAUGGUUGUUUUCCGGGAGAUCUUGACUGGCACGGCGUGAUAGAAAUAUGUCGAGAAGGCGUUCGACAGGUUCCAUAACCCAGACUUUUAUAAGAACAUUUGCUGGUUGCAAACUGGCCUGGAUGUUCCGUCCAAGCAGCAUGACGACAUGAACUUUCAAGUAAGGAUUCCGCUAGAGAGAUGCUGAAAGUGUGGGUAUGUGUCAUAUAAAAAUAACUUGAGCAUAACAUUGUAAGAAAAACGAUCGUUCACAAUA